rnacentral:rRNA from 1 species
AGCGAACGCUGGCGGUAGGCUUAACACAUGCAAGUCGAGCGGGCAUCCACGGAUGUCAGCGGCAGACGGGUGAGUAACGCGUGGGAACGUAGCCUUCCGUUCGGAACUACUCUGGGAAACUGGAGCUAAUACCGGAAAUGACCCUAAGAGGGCAGGUUGACUGCCGGAGGAACGGCCCGCGACUGAUUAGUUAGUUGGUUGGGUAACGGCCUACCAAGGCGACGAUAAGUAGAUGGGAUGAGAGGAAGAGCAGCCACACUGGGACUGAGACACGGUCCAGAAUCCUGGGGGAGGCGGCAGAGGGGAAUAUUGGCCAAUCGGGGCAAGCAUGAUCCAGCCAGGGCGCGUGAGUGAUGAAGGCCGUAGGGAAGUAAAGCACUUUUGUCCGGGACGAUAAUGACGGUACCGGAAGAAUAAGCCCCGGCUAACUUCGUG